GACAUGUCUUGUUAGUAUCUGA
rnacentral:miRNA from 1 species